GGACGAACGCUGGCGGCGUGCCUAACACAUGCAAGUCGAGCGAGGAGAUCCUUCGGGAUGAUCCUAGCGGCGGACGGGUGAGUAACACGUGGGCGAACCUGCCUCAUAGAGAGGAAUAGCCUUCCGAAAGGGAGAUUAAUACCUCAUAACAUUGCAGUUUCGCAUGGAACAGCAAUUAAAGGAGCAAUCCACUAUGAGAUGGGCCCCGCGGCGCAUUAGCUAGUUGGUGAGGUAACGGCUCACCAAGGCGACGAUGCGUAGCCGACCUGAGAGGGUGAUCGGCCACAUUGGGACUGAGACACGGCCCAGACUCCUACGGGAGGCAGCAGUGGGGAAUAUUGCACAAUGGGGGAAACCCUGAUGCAAGCAACGCCGCGUGAGUGAUGACGGCCUUCGGGUUGUAAAGCUCUGUCUUCAGGGACGAUAAUGACGGUACCUGAGGAGGAAGCCACGGCUAACUACGUGCCAGCAGCCGC
rnacentral:rRNA from 1 species